rnacentral:hammerhead_ribozyme from 1 species
AUCCAGCUGACGAGUCCCAAAUAGGACGAAAUCCAAACAAUAUCGAGGCAGUCCGCUCAGGAU